rnacentral:rRNA from 1 species
AACGAACGCUGGCGGCAGGCUUAACACAUGCAAGUCGAGCGAGACCUUCGGGUCUAGCGGCGGACGGGUGAGUAACGCGUGGGAACGUGCCCUUCUCUACGGAAUAGCCCCGGGAAACUGGGAGUAAUACCGUAUACGCCCUUUUGGGGAAAGAUUUAUCGGAGAAGGAUCGGCCCGCGUUGGAUUAGGUAGUUGGUGGGGUAAUGGCCCACCAAGCCGACGAUCCAUAGCUGGUUUGAGAGGAUGAUCAGCCACACUGGGACUGAGACACGGCCCAGACUCCUACGGGAGGCAGGAGUGGGGAAUCUUAGACAAUGGGGGCAACCCUGAUCUAGCCAUGACGCGUGAGUGAUGAAGGCCUUAGGGUUGUAAAGCUCUUUCAGCUGGGAAGAUAAUGACGGUACCAGCAGAAGAAGCCCCGGCUAACUCCGUG